AGAGUUUGAUCAUGGCUCAGAACGAACGCUGGCGGCAUGCCUAACACAUGCAAGUCGAACGAGACCUUCGGGUCUAGUGGCGCACGGGUGCGUAACGCGUGGGAAUCUGCCCUUGGGUUCGGGAUAACAGUUGGAAACGACUGCUAAUACCGGAUGAUGACUUCGGUCCAAAGAUUUAUCGCCCAGGGAUGAGCCCGCGUCGGAUUAGCUAGUUGGUGGGGUAAAGGCCUACCAAGGCAACGAUCCGUAGCUGGUCUGAGAGGAUGAUCAGCCACACUGGGACUGAGACACGGCCCAGACUCCUACGGGAGGCAGCAGUGGGGAAUAUUGGACAAUGGGCGAAAGCCUGAUCCAGCAAUGCCGCGUGAGUGAUGAAGGCCUUAGGGUUGUAAAGCUCUUUUACCCGGGAUGAUAAUGACAGUACCGGGAGAAUAAGCCCCGGCUAACUCCGUGCCAGCAGCCGCGGUAAUACGAAGGGGGCUAGCGUUGUUCGGAAUUACUGGGCGUAAAGCGCGCGUAGGCGGACAUUUAAGUCAGGGGUGAAAUCCCAGGGCUCAACCCUGGAACUGCCUUUGAUACUGAGUGUCUGGAGUUCGGGAGAGGUGAGUGGAAUUCCGAGUGUAGAGGUGAAAUUCGUAGAUAUUCGGAGGAACACCAGAAGCGAAGGCGGCUCGCUGGCCCGAUACUGACGCUGAGGCGCGAAAGCGUGGGGAGCAAACAGGAUUAGAUACCCCAGUAGUCC
rnacentral:rRNA from 1 species